AGAAUACGUAAAUUUUAUUUCCUGGGUAUUAUUAGAUAUGUUCUUGAAACUUUAAAAAUUUGGCGGUAUUUUAUUCUAUUCAGAGGAACCUGUCCUAUAAUCGAUAAUCCACGAUGGACCUUACUUAAAUUUGUUACAAUUUAUAUACCGUUGUUAUAAGAAAAUUUUUAAAGAAUAAUAAUUUUCGUUAAUUAAAAUUAUAAUUUAUAUCAGAUAAAGGUGUAGUUUAUAUUUAAGUAGAGAUGGGUUACAAUAAAUUUAUUUAUACGGAUUUUUUUAUGAAAUUUAAAAAUGAAGGUGGAUUUGAUUGUAAAAAAUUAUAGAUUAAAUUUUUGAAAUUAGCUCUAAAAUAUGUAC
rnacentral:rRNA from 1 species